GGGCAGCAGCGAGAUGGAAGCUGCAGCACAACAGGAGCGAGUGCUGAGGGCAGCUCCGCCAGAGAUUUGUGGGAGAGCAGUCCUGGGACAGGGAGAGGAGCCCUGCGCGGCCCCAAGCAAGGGGAGAUGGCCAUAAAGUGGAGCACAGGAAGUUCCGCCCAUGGAUGAGAAGGGAGUUCUUCACAGUGAGAGUGGCGCAGCUCUGGAACAGGCUGCCCAGGGAGGCUGUGGCUUCUCCUUGUCUGGAGAUAUUCGAGAACCGCCCGGACACCCACCUGCGCAGCCUGCUGUAGGAGCCCGUUUUGCAGGGGGGUUGGACUCGGUGAUCCCUGGAGGUCCUUCCGAGCCCAGUUCUGUGAUUCUGUGAUUUUAAUCCUUGCUUCUUGCAGCAGUAUGGUGUUUGGUGUUUCAGAAGAGAGAAAAGCAUGGCGGGCAUCAGCUGGAUUUCUGUGGCUGGUAAAGCUGUGCCGAGAACUGGGCUGACUGCUGCCCCUGGAAACAUGCGCAAAGUCUGCAGAGGCAGAGGAAUGACUUUUCUCUCAAAAGUUGAGCUUGUCUAAGGUAACUCACUGGUGGGAGAGCUUCUGCUUUAAAGCAUCAGGUUGUAUAAGUAAGGUAAUUUAAAAAGCAAGCUUGACAGUUCUUUUUUACCUAAGUGGUUUUUUAGCAGGGGAAGGUUGGAGAGGCUUUUUGCUAACGGAAGAUGGAGAGAGGAGAAGCAAGUGAAAGGCACGCUGUGCAUAUCUGCUGCAUACCAUCUGCACCGCUCUCCCCCUUUUGAGAGAGGAGAAAGAAUCACAAAUGCUUGUGGAGAAAAAAGACUCAGGGAUUUCUUCUUUCUUGCUAGCAGAUCUUGAUGCUCUCCUCUUCCUGCCAGUGGGCUGCGUGUCAUGCCAUAGUCCUGCAGUCUCCAGAAGUGACCCCACGUGCUACCAAAACAGAUCACAGACCUGGAUUCAGGCGUUCCUCAUUCUCCCACUGCACAAGUUGUCACAGAGCAGCGUGCUCCUCAAACGUGGUCAUUUUGUGAGGUUACGCAGUGUUUGUGUACUUAUGUAGGAAUGGAAUGUUGUUUCUGCAUUAGAACUAAAGUGUGAGUAUUUGACGUCAUUGUCUCUGCUCCAGUCUUGUGUUGUUUGUUUACUACUACUAUUUAGUACUUAGUACUACUAAGUACUAACAGCUCUUUUUGGGAGUGUUUUUAUUUCAUCAGGAGUCUCUGAGGGUCUCCUUCACUUGCCUGUUAGAUGAAUUUUCCACAUUGGUGCUUGCUCAGUAGGUAGAUGGAGUAAUGAAUGUAUCGGUACAAGGACUGCCGCUGUUAUCUGUCCAGCCAUCUGGAAUACCUCUGAGCCUUGAGUUCCAGACAACAUAGACAUCACGCUCCUAAACAUUACGAUAAUGCCUUUAGAAAUCCCAAACCCUUGACAAUGAUAUCAGUAGGCUCAUUAUGUUGCAAGACUACUGAUUUUUGAUGCUGGUCAGACAGGACCUCAGUGAUGAUAGAAAAUUUAAGCAGGAGAAUGUAAGCCAUUAGCAAUAGAUAAACAUUUAGCUAGCAUCAGUUUCUAUUUAGCCAGUAUGCCCGUGUACAAUUAAGCAUCGGGAAGGUUUGUGAACCUGAAAUACUCAGGCAAUGAGGAAUCGGGAAAAGAUGAGCAUCAAGGUAAUAGGGCAUGUUCUUUGCUUUGUAAUAGGGUUUUGUUUGCUUUUCAUUCAGUAUCAUUUCUUACCAUUACGCAGUGUUUGUCUUGUCUUGUUUUUCAUGUUGCCAAUCAACAUUUCAUUGGAGCUUGGGUGACCCGAAUGCAUACAACUAAGUGUUGACCAAGUGUGAUGUGAAAUGAAGAGGUAGGCUCCAAAACAGGCUUCUAGAUUGGAGACUCCACUAUCAGAUGGCGUUGGCCUUUCAAGCCUCCCCGGGUUGUAGCGCUGGUUGUGCCCUGAUCCUUGGAAAGGGGAACUGAUUCCUUCAUCAUUACCUGAUGGUGACGUCUACUUAUCUUGUGUCCAGUGAGCAGUGGUGGAAAAACUGUGGCUCUCCUGAGCGGUGCAAGGACUCUACUGAGGCUCAUUGUGUUUAUAGUAGAAAACUACAGCCAUAGAUGGAUGCCAAUAUCCACUCCUUACUCUGUCUGGCAAGCUGUGUUGAUCUCUGAAGUUGCUCCCACACCUGUAGUUGUUCUUUGGGCUCGGCAUCAGUUGUCUCUUGCACUCACGUGGCUUUCACCUGGUAUUCUUUCUUUUCCCCCAUCUUUAGGGCUCCCAAGUACUGCUGUGAUGUCUGUGCCUUCUGUCGCUCCCACCAAACAUGGGUUUGUUCUUUUUAGGUUCAAUAUCAUUUAUUGACAUUAUGCAAUGUUUCUCAUUUUUCUUGUGUUUCAUGUUGCCAAUCUACGCCUAGUUGGAGCUACAGCGAGCCCAAAUGCUGACUGCUCUGCUUUGACCAAGUGAGAUGCAAAAAGAAGAGCUUGCUUCCUGAGGUUUUUCUUGUGAUAAGACUCUCAAUGAUUUGUUAAGGAGGCAAGUGAUGGGUGCUAACCGUGUGACAAUCGACAUCACUUUGGGAACAUUUGAGAGCCCCUUCCUCCAGAGCUGCUUGCCUCCAGAAUAGAGUGCUCAGGAGUGUUCACUGGCGGAAGAUCUGGCCUGUGACUAAACAGCUCCAGCUUGGUAUGGGAAAAUUGGGGAAUGAUAUCAUCGUGUUCUGUGAAAAACAAGAUGCAGAAGGGCAUCCCUGCUCCCUCUUGUCUGCUGGCAAGGCCCAGAAGAUGGGAACAGAGGAGUUUCUGCUGAGAUCCCAGAGCCAGAAGCUGCCGCUCCAAGGAGAGCUGACUCAACCACAUUGGAUUUGAGCUGUCACUCCAAAGACAGCUGACUUGACCACUUUGAAACUAUUGAAAAGGGGCCGUCAUCGCCAUGGUCAUGGCCGUCGUUCUCAUCAUUCUCCUCGUCGUCAACAGAACAAUGCCUGACGACCCACCACUACUGAAGAUCAAAGACUGAAUUACAAACCACACUGGAUCCAUGGUGGUGACUGUCUCCCUCUUACUUCCUAUAAAGACUCCUUGCUUCUUCUUUCCUAUCUUUCCUAUUGCCCUCCUUCCCUUCCCCAUUACCCUAAUUCAUAAUAGCAUCCGUCCUCCCCUUCCCCAUUUCCCUAAUUACAAUUUGUAAUAAAUUGGUCGGACCAACAUUUGAACCAUU